rnacentral:rRNA from 1 species
UACAGAGGGUGCGAGCGUUAAUCGGAAUUACUGGGCGUAAAGCGUGCGUAGACGGUUAUUUAAGUCGGGUGUGAAAGCCCGGGGCUUAACCCCGGAAUUGCGCCUGAAACUGUCUGGCUAGAGUACUGGAGAGGGUAGCGGAAUUCACGGUGUAGCAGUGAAAUGCGUAGAUAUCGUGAGGAACACCAGAGGCGAAGGCGGCUACCUGGACAGUAACUGACGCUCAGGCACGAAAGCGUGGGGAGCAAAAGGG